GGACGGGUGAGUAACGCGUGGGAACGUGCCCUUCUCUACGGAAUAGCCCCGGGAAACUGGGAGUAAUACCGUAUACGCCCUUUGGGGGAAAGAUUUAUCGGAGAAGGAUCGGCCCGCGUUGGAUUAGGUAGUUGGUGGGGUAAUGGCCCACCAAGCCGACGAUCCAUAGCUGGUUUGAGAGGAUGAUCAGCCACACUGGGACUGAGACACGGCCCAGACUCCUACGGGAGGCAGCAGUGGGGAAUCUUAGACAAUGGGGGCAACCCUGAUCUAGCCAUGCCGCGUGAGUGAUGAAGGCCUUAGGGUUGUAAAGCUCUUUCAGCUGGGAAGAUAAUGACGGUACCAGCAGAAGAAGCCCCGGCUAACUCCGUGCCAGCAGCCGCGGUAAUACGGAGGGGGCUAGCGUUGUUCGGAAUUACUGGGCGUAAAGCGCACGUAGGCGGACUGGAAAGUCAGAGGUGAAAUCCCAGGGCUCAACCUUGGAACUGCCUUUGAAACUAUCAGUCUGGAGUUCGAGAGAGGUGAGUGGAAUUCCGAGUGUAGAGGUGAAAUUCGUAGAUAUUCGGAGGAACACCAGUGGCGAAGGCGGCUCACUGGCU
rnacentral:rRNA from 1 species